rnacentral:lncRNA from 1 species
AAUUUAGAGUUUUCAGCCAUGAUUUCUUCUAUUUUUCUCUCCUUUCUCACUAUUAUCCUCUAUUAUUAUGUGUGUUUGUGUGCUUAAUAGUGCUCCACAUUUUUCUGUAGCUCUAUUAAUUUGUCAUCGCUCUUUCUUCUCUCCACUUUCUUCGGAAUGCAUUAUCUCUAUUGAUAUAUCUUUGAAUUUGCUGAUUCUUUCUUCUGUCAGUUCAAAUAUGCUGUUGAGCCUCUGGUAAGUUUUUCAUUUCAACUAGCAUAUUUUUUCAAUCUAGAAUUUUCAUUUGGUUAUUUAAAAAAUACAUUUCUACCUUUUUAUUGAUAUUCUGUAUUUGAUAAGAAAAACGAGCCAUUACCUCUUUAAUCACAAAUUUCCUUUGUUCUUNNNNNNNNNNNNNNNNNNNNNNNNNNNNNNAAAAUCAUUUCUACCUUUUUAUUGAUAUUCUGUAUUUGAUAACACAUUAAGCCAUUACCUCUUUAAUCACAAGUUUCCUUUAGUUCCUUUAAUAUAUUUGUAAUGGCUGCUUUGAAAUCUUUAAAAUCUGACAUCUGUUCACCCUCACAGGCAAUUCUUGCUGUCUUCCUUUUUCCUGUUUGUAAGCUACAUUUUCCUAUUUUUUUUUGUUGUUGCAAGUUUUUUUUUUUUUUUUUUUAAACUGGACAUUUGAAGUAACAUGUUGUAACAACUCUAAAUUUUGAUUUCCUUCCCCAUUUCAGGGUUGUUUUUGUUGUUGUUUGCUUGUUUGUUUUGUGACUUGGCUAGACUCUUUCAGUUGCAUCUAUUUCCCAUGUAGUGUGAAGUUUCUAAUGUUGCCCUUCAGAGAGGCACAUCCUUGGGCAUGAGCACGGUCAUCCUAAAUAACAGUGUUUUCUUUGGUUAAAUUAGGGGAGUCUUUGUCUCUUUUUCUGAUUUCUCUGUUAAUCUGUCGGCCUCUAGUGGUAUCAUACCCAGCUCUUAAACUCAGCUAAUUGAUGGCUGAUAUCCCUAUUGUUUCAGACAAUGCCCUGGAGUGUUCCAGGCAUAAAUCGCUCCACAGUCUCAUCCAAUUAAAUCUGGAUAGGGGCAGUUUUUGAGGCCUAUCUUUGAGGCUUGUUAUGUCCCCCUGGUGUCUGUUUUUGGCUGUCUCUUUCUCUGGUUCUGUCUGAUAAAUUAGCUGGCCUACAGUUGAGCUCUCAUAGAGCUACAAGUCUUCUUUUAAUUGUUUACUGCCAAAAUUACCAAUUGUUUUUGAGAGCAUUCUUAGGCUUGAAUUUUCCCACAGUUCUCUUCAAAUAAAGACAGUUAUUUUGGGAACAGCACUGGAGUUCUCUUUUCUUGUGGACUACCUCUGUUCCUGAGAAAAGUCUCUGAGCUACUGCUCCAGGGCUGGGGGUAGGGACAGUGGUCCACUUCUCUUGGAGUGACACCAUGCAUUAUGAGUAGGGUGCUUGUCAGAGCCAUAGCUUCUGGUAUUCUUUGCUUGCCUCUUUGGCCUACAAAUGAGCAGGGCUGAGGAGAGAGACCUCAAGAGAGAGACCAAGUCAGAGACCCAGUAUUCUUGACCUGCCAACACUGUGACUGAGAGUGUGAGUUGGGGCUGGGUGGAGAAAGAGAGUCCCUGACUUCUCAACUGCACUUGCCAGGAAUUUAGCCUUUGCAACUUGGUGUUGGAGGUGAUAAGAAAUGCUGGUGGGCUGCUCCUCCUGGUGAGAUACCGCAUGCCUUGAUUGGGAACUGAGGGAGAAAGAAGCUUUGUCUUUUUAGCUGUAGUUAUGCAGAAAUGAGCUUCAGUCAAGCUGAACUGGCAUACAGGAGGGAUGGAGUAAGUCAUGGUUCAAGUGCCUCAGCCUCUUACUGUUCAUACUGAGAUUUAAUAGAUUUUCAAAAAGAUUUUUCUUGAACAAAUGUUGCUGUAUGCCCUUAGAACGAUUUUCAAAUACUUUAUACAGUUGUCUUUUUUAAAUGUAAUUUUUGCCAGUUAUGGUUGUUUCACUGGGAAAUGGGUCUAUGGUCUGCUCACAUCACCGUGCAGAUGUGAAACUAUGGGUACAGACACAUGGAUGCCCUGGACAAAAGGAGGAUUCACCUUCCUGGUGGGGCAGAGCCAGGCGGUGCGAGAUUUUGUCA